rnacentral:rRNA from 1 species
CCUACGGGUGGCAGCAGUGGGGAAUAUUGCACAAUGGGGGAAACCCUGAUGCAGCGACGCCGCGUGAAGGAAGAAGUAUUUCGGUAUGUAAACUUCUAUCAGCAGGGAAGAAAAUGACGGUACCUGACUCAGAAGCCCCGGCUAACUACGUGCCAGCAGCCGCGGUAAUACGUAGGGGGCAAGCGUUAUCCGGAUUUACUGGGUGUAAAGGGAGCGUAGGCGGUAAUGCAAGUCAGAAGUGAAAGCCCGGGGCUCAACGCCGGGACUGCUUUUGAAACUGCCGGGCUGGAGUGCAGGAGAGGUAAGCGGAAUUCCUGGUGUAGCGGUGAAAUGCGUAGAUAUUAGGAGGAACACCAGUGGCGAAGGCGGCUUACUGGACUGUAACUGACGUUGAGGCUCGAAAGCGUGGGGAGCAAACAGGAUUAGAUACCCUUGUAGUC